AUUGAACGCUGGCGGCAGGCCUAACACAUGCAAGUCGAGCGGAUGAGGGGAGCUUGCUCCUGGAUUCAGCGGCGGACGGGUGAGUAAUGCCUAGGAAUCUGCCUGGUAGUGGGGGAUAACGUCCGGAAACGGGCGCUAAUACCGCAUACGUCCUGAGGGAGAAAGUGGGGGAUCUUCGGACCUCACGCUAUCAGAUGAGCCUAGGUCGGAUUAGCUAGUUGGUGGGGUAAAGGCCUACCAAGGCGACGAUCCGUAACUGGUCUGAGAGGAUGAUCAGUCACACUGGAACUGAGACAUGGUCCAGACUCCUACGGGAGGCAGCAGUGGGGAAUAUUGGACAAUGGGCGAAAGCCUGAUCCAGCCAUGCCGCGUGUGUGAAGAAGGUCUUCGGAUUGUAAAGCACUUUAAGUUGGGAGGAAGGGCAGUAAGUUAAUACCUUGCUGUUUUGACGUUACCAACAGAAUAAGCACCGGCUAACUUCGUG
rnacentral:rRNA from 1 species